rnacentral:rRNA from 1 species
UACAGAGGUCUCAAGCGUUGUUCGGAUUCAUUGGGCGUAAAGGGUGCGUAGGCGGCGUGGUAAGUCGGGUGUGAAAUUUCGGAGCUUAACUCCGAAACUGCAUUCGAUACUGCGGUGCUUGAGGACUGGGAGAGGAGGUACGUAGGAAUUCGAUGGUGUAGCAGUGAAAUGCGUAGAGAUCAUGAGGAAGACCAGUGGCGAAGGCGGGUCUCUGGACAGUUCCUGACACUGAGGCACGAAGGCCAGGGGAGCAAACGGGG